rnacentral:rRNA from 1 species
AUUGAACGCUGGCGGCAUGCUUUACACAUGCAAGUCGAACGGUAACAGGCCUUCGGGUGCUGACGAGUGGCGAACGGGUGAGUAAUGCAUCGGAACGUGCCCAGAGGUGGGGGAUAACGCAGCGAAAGCUGUGCUAAUACCGCAUGUGAUCUGAGGAUGAAAGCGGGGGACCAGGCAGCAAUGUUUGGCCUCGCGCCUUUGGAGCGGCCGAUGUCAGAUUAGGUAGUUGGUGGGGUAAAGGCCUACCAAGCCGACGAUCUGUAGCUGGUCUGAGAGGACGACCAGCCACACUGGGACUGAGACACGGCCCAGACUCCUACGGGAGGCAGCAGUGGGGAAUUUUGGACAAUGGGCGCAAGCCUGAUCCAGCAAUGCCGCGUGCGGGAAGAAGGCCUUCGGGUUGUAAACCGCUUUUGUACGGAACGAAAAGGCUCUGGCUAAUACCUGGGGCUGAUGACGGUACCGUAAGAAAAAGCACCGGCUAACUACGUG